CCCUUGGCUUUGGAGAUUAGCCCUCUGCAGCCGCCAGGUGCGUAUAUAUGGAGCGAGGGGGAGGAGGCUCCAGUUUCCCUCGUUAUUUUAAGCGAACGCUCCAAUCUAUUGUUUGGAUAAGGUUGAGAAAAGCGCUCCUACCAGGACGCGGCGGCGACUUAAACAAAACCGGGCUCGAGGCCGACAGAAGCCAGACGGCCCCGGGAGCGCCACCGCCGAGGGAAGCCAAGAGCUGCCUGCGAGGGGAAACCCGCGGCUCGGCCCCAAUGUGGGCAACCACCAGGGCCGGGGAGGAGCUCCAAAACCCCACAGGUAGCAAAGCAGCGGGAGCAGCAGGGACCUGGAUAUCCCCAAAUCGAGGGAUCGAGGCUGGGGCUGCCGGGACAGCGGAGCUUUGGGCAACCCAGCUCCCUCGCAGGCAGUUAUUGAGGCUGGAGGGCGACGGCUCAGACCGCUCUGCUCUCAGAGUGAGAAAACCAAAGCAAGGGCCUGGCAGAGCACAAAUCGAGCCGCUACUUCAAGCCAUUACCCACAGCAAAACGCGCCCCACGCCUGGACCGUGCAGAAGCCGCAAGGAGCUCUCAAGCCUCACUUAAGCCCCAGUAAUAGGAGGGGAAUUUUGCUGGCUUGGGGCAUAAAGGCGAGUGUCACGGUUCGGAGGAACCUCUCGGCAGGACGAGCUCCUUGUCCGUCCCCGCCACAGAGAUGCCUUUAAUCUCAGCUUAAAAUAUUCUGACGUGGCGGGGGAAAAAA